UCAAUAAGCGGAGGAAAAGAAACCAACAGGGAUUGCCCUAGUAACGGCGAGUGAAGCGGCAACAGCUCAAAUUUGAAAUCUGGCUCUUUUAGAGUCCGAGUUGUAAUUUGCAGAGGGCGCUUUGGCUUUGGCAGCGGUCCAAGUUCCUUGGAACAGGACGUCACAGAGGGUGAGAAUCCCGUACGUGGUCGCUGGCUAUUGCCGUGUAAAGCCCCUUCGACGAGUCGAGUUGUUUGGGAAUGCAGCUCUAAAUGGGAGGUACAUUUCUUCUAAAGCUAAAUAUUGGCCAGAGACCGAUAGCGCACAAGUAGAGUGAUCGAAAGAUGAAAAGCACUUUGGAAAGAGAGUCAAACAGCACGUGAAAUUGUUGAAAGGGAAGCGCUUGCAGCCAGACUUGCUUACAGUUGCUCAUCCGGGUUUCUACCCGGUGCACUCUUCUGUAGGCAGGCCAGCAUCAGUUUGGGCGGUAGGAUAAAGGUCUCUGUCACGUACCUCCUUUCGGGGAGGCCUUAUAGGGGAGACGACAUACUACCAGCCUGGACUGAGGUCCGCGCAUCUGCUAGGAUGCUGGCGUAAUGGCUGUAAGCGGCCCGUCUUGAAACACGGACCAAGGAGUCUAACAUCUAUGCGAGUGUUUGGGUGUCAAGCCCGAGCGCGUAAUGAAAGUGAACGGAGGUGGGAACCCGCAAGGGUGCACCAUCGACCGAUCCUGAUGUCUUCGGAAGGAUUUGAGUAAGAGCAUGGCUGUUGGGACCCGAAAGAUGGUGAACUAUGCUUGAAUAGGGUGAAGCCAGAGGAAACUCUGGUGGAGGCUCGCAGCGGUUCU
rnacentral:rRNA from 1 species